rnacentral:misc_RNA from 1 species
AACGCACAUUGCGCCCCCUGGCAUUCCGGGGGGCAUGCCCGUUCGAGCGUCAUUAAAUCCAAUCAAGCCUGGCUUGGUAUUGGGCGUCGGGGUCCCCCGCGCCUCAAUUUCACCGGCUGGCCGUCGCCCGUCUUAGCGUUGUGAUACACUUCUCGCUAGCGAUGGGACCGGACCACGCCGUUAGAACUCACGAAUUUCAAUCGAAAUUCAUCAAGGUUGACCUCGGAUCGGGUAGGAAUACCCGCUGAACUUAA